AAGGGAUAGAUACCAGAAGAGAAAUUUUGUGUACAUUUUAAUUUGGGUUGUGGAAAAUUGUAUUCUCUAUUAAAGGGUUUAGAGGAGUGCAUUCAAAUAAUACUCCUAACAGUUGGAUAAACUGUCAUGAGGGCAUUUGGCUGUGAAGUUGCAAUGAGUGGAGAGGCAUUGACAUUGUUGCUGAUGGUGACGUUCCUGGUUGAUGACAUAGAAGACUUAAUUUCCUCCUCAUGAUUAAUCUCUCAGUUGGAGAGUAUACACACUCUUACACAGAAUCCAGGACGAAAGCCCUCAUCAGAUGCUUACAUCAUGAUCUUGGACUUCCCAGCCUCCAGACUGAUGCUAUGGAAGAUCAGAAAAUAUAAAUUUAUGAACUGCUAUAAACUGUUAUUUUCUUCGUGAAGAUCAGCACAACAAGAUGUUCCAGACUUAUUCAACAUAUUGUCCAGCCAGUCCUGGAAACAAUCAGUUCCCUGAGGACAGAAUUAAAGUUUAGAGACCUGAAUCUGGGCCCCAGGGGUGGUCAUUACUACUGGUUUGCCACUGCUUCUGUAGCUUUUCAGUGAAGAGCAACAAGAAACCAUGACAGCAAGGCCCCAAACAGGAACCUCCUGCAUUUUCUCAUCUGUGAUGAGGCACACUGAUGCUGGGGAUUAAUGAGCCUGAAGAUAUAAAGCAGUGUUUACCACUGGAAAAUGUCUCCUACACUAAAAGCAGAGGCACAUGCCACUGGCCCUCCAUGACACCUGCUCACCAGACACUGUCCUUCCACUUCAGAAGGAUACCGGAUCCUCAUCAGGCCGUCUGACUUCUUACCUUGGGAAUGAGAACCUUGACAGAGGAAGCCUCAGAACUGAAGAUUCUGGGACUCACAGCAGUGGCCCACUCAGGCCCUUGAGACUUUGGCUUCGGACUAAGAGACCAUUGGAAUCUGUAGUUCUGAGGCCUUCAGACUUGACUUGGAUUGAGCCACGCUUCUGGCCUCCCCGUUUCUCCGGCUUGCAGACGGCUCAUCGUGGGACUUCCCUGUUUCCAUAAUUGG
ensembl:lncRNA novel transcript